GCAAGUUGUGGUGGUCAUUGUGACUGUGUCAAGUUCUCUAUGACAUCAUAGUUUGCUCUGCAUUGCAGAUUGGCAGGGUGCUGGUUGUUUUUCCAUGUAAAAUGAAAGCCUUCUAGCUUCCGGAUCAUCUUAUCAACUCUGGCCCAACAUCACAGUAUUUUGGAGCAAGAAAUACAGAGAGGCGUGACCAGAAAGGAAGAAGAUGGAAAAAGCAACAAGCAGAUCAUCUAUACUGGACCUGGUACUCACCAACAGGGAGGAGCUGAUCAAAGAAGUGGAAGUAUUCAGAAACUUGGGAGGAAGUGAUCAUGUUUUCCUGGGUUUCAGGAUACAGAGGCAAGGGAAAGCUGAGUGUAGUCGGACAUGCACUCUGGACUUUAAGAAGGCCAAAUUCAAAAAGCUGAAGGAGCUAUUGGGUGAGAUCCCAUGGUCAGAAAUACUCAGAGAGAAGGAAGUCCAAGAUAAAUGGGAGUUUCUUAAAGAUGAAAUUUUGAAGGCCCAAACGCAGACAACUCCAACAAGAAAAAAGCAGGAAGCAUCUAAGGAAACAAGCUUUUUAUGAAUGCUAACAUUUUGGCAGUGUUCUAAUUUCAUUGAGUAGAUAAAGAAGAGAACAAG